rnacentral:rRNA from 1 species
GCACGAGACCUUCGGGUCUAGUGGCGCACGGGUGCGUAACGCGUGGGAAUCUGCCCUUGGGUUCGGAAUAACAGUUAGAAAUGACUGCUAAUACCGGAUGAUGACGUAAGUCCAAAGAUUUAUCGCCCAAGGAUGAGCCCGCGUAGGAUUAGCUUGUUGGUGAGGUAAAAGCUCACCAAGGCGACGAUCCUUAGCUGGUCUGAGAGGAUGAUCAGCCACACUGGGACUGAGACACGGCCCAGACUCCUACGGGAGGCAGCAGUGGGGAAUAUUGGACAAUGGGCGAAAGCCUGAUCCAGCAAUGCCGCGUGAGUGAUGAAGGCCUUAGGGUUGUAAAGCUCUUUUACCCGGGAUGAUAAUGACAGUACCGGGAGAAUAAGCUCCGGCUAACUCCGUG